rnacentral:lncRNA from 1 species
UGUCAAACAGGUAAAAAAAAAACAAGGGGUCUAAAAUAGUUCCUUGUGGUUAUAUCCACUGGUCGGUGACCACAGUGCAUCACAUGAAAAUUGGUUAACUAUCUGACUCAAUAUAGCUACACAAGAACUUUCCAACAGAGGUGCUCGGUCAGAAAAAAGCAUGCGGCCUGUCUGCAAACUGUAGAGAGGAGACGUGCAGUUGCAUGAUGAGAGCAUUUGACCAGAAUGUACAGAUAAGGCUUCUAGAAGUACUCCAUUUUUAAGGACACCUCACACUUCUGAUGGCCAUUAAUGGUCGUGUUGCAAACAGAAAUGCUGCUUAUUCCUCUCGUGCUGGUGUUUGCAGGAGUUUCUCAUGUUUUAUCUACAGAAACCAAGACUGUCUGUGAUGCGACCCAGUUUGCUACAUGUCAUGGGACCCUGGGAGAACCUACAUAUUUACAGUUGCUGCCAAGUGCCGUUGGACAUCAAUUACUUUGCAAGAAAAUGACUCAGAAUGGUCUUACAGGGGUUUUUAGAUUAAAAAAGAACCAGACUGUGUUCUUCAAUGAGUCCUUCACCUCACCUAUACAGGACCGAUGGCACUUUGUUGCUGCAAACGGUACAAUAAUGAUCAACCCAGCAACAAAGAGAGACUCAGGAACAUACAGAGUAGAGAUCCACAAUGAAGAAACAGGGGCGCUUGUGGCAAAUACCACAAUACAGCUGAUUAUUUUGGGUACACACAGUACUGUGAGAUCCAUUUUGACUGACAGGACCGACAACCCCAGCAAGAUGGAAACACGUGUUUGUACCCACAGUACUGUGAGAUCCAUUUUGACUGACAGGACCAACAACCCCAGCAAGAUGGGAACACGUGUUUACAUGGUCAGUUUAAUAGCAGCUUCACUUGGCGUGGUCCUGCUGUGUGUGACUGUGUAUGGGGGAGUAUACUAUGUCUGCCAGAGGAGGACACACACACCCAAACCAGCUGAGUCUGUUGAAGUGGUGUAUGCUGAGAUCACCGUGCUGAAAAGAGAGAACAAGCAGCCGGAACAGAGAAUGAAGGAGGAGGAGGGCAGUGUAUAUUCGACCCAUAUGAGUUUUUCAGUGGCCAAGGCCGAUGCCGAAGCCGAUUAGAGAACAGGGUGGCCGAUGGCCGCUAUAUAUAUAAUACCGAUAUCAUGUUGUUUGUUGCCGAACUUAAAUUAACAUUUAUUUAACACGGUUAUUGUCUGCAUUGUCUCUGUUUGUUUAUGUAGGUUGCACUUUGCACUCUGCUUAUUGUUUUAAAUUAAAAAAAAAUUCCACAAGUAAUCAAAAAAAUAAACUGAAUAAAAUAAAGUGUGUACGGAGGUUG